GACACGCUGGCGGCGUGCCUAAUGCAUGCAAGUCGAGCGGGCUACGAUCUUCGGAUUGUAGCUUAGCGGCGAACGGGUGAGUAACACGUAGGUAAUCUACCCUUCAGAGGAGGACAACCUCAGGAAACUGAGGCUAAACCUUCAUACGUUCACUGGUAGGGAUACUGGUGAAGAAAGAGUUACCUUAGUGGUAGCUGCUGAAGGAUGAGCCUGCGGCCCAUCAGGUAGUUGGUGAGGUAACGGCUCACCAAGCCGAAGACGGGUAACCGGUCUGAGAGGAUGUCCGGUCACACUGGGACUGAGACACGGCCCAGACUCCUACGGGAGGCAGCAGCAGGGAAUCUUGGGCAAUGGGGGAAACCCUGACCCAGUGACGCCGCGUGCAGGAAGGAGCCCUUCGGGGUGUAAACUGCUGUCGUGUAGGGAGAAGGGUACUAAGGUGAACAAUCUUAGUACUUGACGGUACUACAGGAGGAAGCCCAGGCUAACCUCGUG
rnacentral:rRNA from 1 species